rnacentral:rRNA from 1 species
GUCUUCCCGUUUUGUUUUGUGAAGUCUAGCCUGCCCAGUGAUGUAUUUAACGGCCGCGGUAUAUUGACCGUGCAAAGGUAGCAUAAUCAUUAGUCUUUUAAUAGAGGGCUGGAAUGAAGGGUUUGACGAGGAAUUAACUGUCUCAUUUUAAUUAAUUAAAAUUUAACUUUUAAGUUAAAAGGCUUAAAUUUUGUUGGAAGACGAGAAGACCCUAUAGAGCUUUAUUUUCAUGUUUUUAAUUUAUGUUUGUUUUAUAAAUUUUUAUUAUUGUCAUAAGAAUUUUGUUGGGGUGACGGUAAAUAUAAGUUUAACUUUUAUAUUAUUUUUACAUUAAUUUAUGUUUUAAUAGAUCCUUUAUUAUAGAUCAUUAGAAUAAGUUACCUUAGGGAUAACAGCGUAAUCUUCUUUCAGAGUUCAAAUUUACAAGAAGGCUUGCGACCUCGAUGUUGGAUUAAGAUAAUAAUUAGGUGUAGUAGCUUAGUUUAUAGGUCUGUUCGACCUUUGAAAUCUU